GACGAACGCUGGCGGCGUGCUUAACACAUGCAAGUCGAACGAUGAAGCCUAGCUUGCUAGGUGGAUUAGUGGCGAACGGGUGAGUAAUACGUGAGUAACCUACCUUUAACUCUGGGAUAAGCCUGGGAAACUGGGUCUAAUACCGGAUACGACCAAUCUCCGCAUGGGGUGUUGGUGGAAAGCGUUAUGUAGUGGUUAUAGAUGGGCUCACGGCCUAUCAGCUUGUUGGUGAGGUAACGGCUCACCAAGGCGACGACGGGUAGCCGGCCUGAGAGGGUGACCGGCCACACUGGGACUGAGACACGGCCCAGACUCCUACGGGAGGCAGCAGUGGGGAAUAUUGCACAAUGGGCGCAAGCCUGAUGCAGCGACGCCGCGUGAGGGAUGACGGCCUUCGGGUUGUAAACCUCUGUUAGCAGGGAAGAAGAGAGAUUGACGGUACCUGCAGAGAAAGCGCCGGCUAACUACGUGCCAGCAGCCGCGGUAAUACGUAGGGCGCGAGCGUUGUCCGGAAUUAUUGGGCGUAAAGAGCUUGUAGGCGGUUUGUCGCGUCUGCUGUGAAAGGCCGGAGCUUAACUCCGUGUAUUGCAGUGGGUACGGGCAGACUAGAGUGCAGUAGGGGAGACUGGAAUUCCUGGUGUAGCGGUGGAAAUGCGCAGAUAUCAGGAGGAACACCGAUGGCGAAGGCAGGUCUCUGGGCUGUAACUGACGCUGAGAAGCGAAAGCAUGGGGAGCGAACAGGAUUAGAUACCCUGGUAGUCCAUGCCGUAAACGUUGGGCACUAGGUGUGGGGGACAUUCCACGUUUUCCGCGCCGUAGCUAACGCAUUAAGUGCCCCGCCUGGGGAGUACGGCCGCAAGGCUAAAACUCAAAGAAAUUGACGGGGGCCCGCACAAGCGGCGGAGCAUGCGGAUUAAUUCGAUGCAACGCGAAGAACCUUACCAAGGCUUGACAUAUACUGGACCGCAUCAGAGAUGGUGUUUCCCUUCGGGGCUGGUAUACAGGUGGUGCAUGGUUGUCGUCAGCUCGUGUCGUGAGAUGUUGGGUUAAGUCCCGCAACGAGCGCAACCCUCGUUCUAUGUUGCCAGCACGUUAUGGUGGGGACUCAUAGGAGACUGCCGGGGUCAACUCGGAGGAAGGUGGGGAUGACGUCAAAUCAUCAUGCCCCUUAUGUCUUGGGCUUCACGCAUGCUACAAUGGCCGGUACAGAGGGUUGCGAUACUGUGAGGUGGAGCUAAUCCCUAAAAGCCGGUCUCAGUUCGGAUUGGGGUCUGCAACUCGACCCCAUGAAGUCGGAGUCGCUAGUAAUCGCAGAUCAGCAACGCUGCGGUGAAUACGUUCCCGGGCCU
rnacentral:rRNA from 1 species